UAGGAUGGUUUUCAUGAUGGUUCAGAUC
rnacentral:piRNA from 1 species